GGCAAGAGUUCACGAAGAGGCCACCCUUUGAAACAGAAAGCAGUAAGAGCCAACACAAAAGGGACGAGCCCCGACACUACGGACCCAUCCCUGAAGAGAUUUCAUGCAGAGAGCCUGGAAGCAAAUGUGAAGGAAAUUAAAAAACAAAACAAAGCAAAGUAACUAACGUACCCACAGUCCCCAGGCAUCAAGAUGAGAAAUGCCAUUGUAGCUGGUGACUUCGUAUAGGAUGGAGCAGUCUGCCAUUUUCCAAAUGUGAAUGGUUCACAGGCCAUACCUUCUUCUGGAACAGCUACAAUGCUUCACCCAGACCGAUGCACAUCACAUCAGAGAGGAAGACACAUGUGUGAUUCAUUUUGCUAAGCCUCAAGUCUAAGGAUUUACCUAAGGACCCAGGAAUGUUGUGAGGCUGCUCUUGAUCCGCACUGAGAAGGAUAUUGAAGCAGCAGCCUCUGGUAAGAAGAUACGUUGAAACCAGAGAAGACCUCAUCACAGGGCACACAGCGGAGCAGGACUGCCUAGUAAGGGUAUUCUUGAAAACCAACACCUCCUCCCUUGGCCCACCCGGGGUGUCCUCAGGCCAUCUCCGCCAGUGGAUCAAGUCACACCCUUUGGGCUGCCACCAACUGUGGGACGGCCUGCCCGCUGCUUCUUGGCUGCUCCCAGAUUGGCCACUUUCCUUCUGGGAAUACCACUACAUCCACCAGUCAUGGCAUGCUUGCUUAUGCGAUUGAAAGACCAGACAAUGCCUAGUUUAAUCCAGUGUAAUUUAAUAAAUAUCCAUUAAACACUUA